CACACACACACACACACACACACACACACACAGAUCUUCACCCUUUGCAAACACGUGACCACGGCCGCGUGACAACGCCACGACAGACGGAAGAAUCACCGGAAGCGCAAGCUAAACAGUGUAGUAGAUGAGCGGAAAAAGCCAUUAGUUUUAAUCAGUUUAAAAUAAAUAUCAUUAAAUAAACUGUAAUUAUACUAAUACUGUCUU